CCCAACCGCUCUCCCCGCCUUGCCUCGGCAACCCCUUCCGCUCCUUCCUUUCUUGAAAAGGAGACAGGCCUGGGUUUAAAAGUUUAUUUUAGCUUUGAUUGUGCAUAGCUGCUAAUGCAUGUUAAUCAGCUCUCACAAUGCAUCCUUGUGAGGCACCAGAGAAUGCAGGCUUGGGCUGUGGGGGCUUUUUGUUCCCAGGUAAUUGUGAUGGUGAAGGGGAGCUUGCUCUAAUUAAUUUAGUUAGUGUAUGUUUUGGUGAGGGUAAAGGGGCUCGGUGAUUUAUAGGGCACCGCUUUUCUUCUCUUGAACAGGCAAACUCCAAAGUGCACAUAACCAUAUUAUAGCCAGUAGGUGAAAGACUCUGAAUGCACGGAGGCAGCGCCAACACCCCCUGUAAUUUUCUGUUCUCUGUGGAGACCGGUUUCUACUUGGCCGUCUGCAAUCUUACACGCAAAAGAAGAUCUGAAUGGCCUUGAGACUAUUUUUCUCCUUGCUUGCUUUGAACCCGUUCUCAAAAGAAUGCCCCAAAGAUUCAAAUCCUUGGUGGUGGUGUCACACCAGAUCUAAAAUACAGAAGGGUGAAAUGGAAAGUUCUUAUCAGGGAAAGAGUGGUGGGAUUUAGUCUUUGAGCUGCUAGUGAGCCAGAGGGUCAGAUUGAAUUCAACUGUACCCAGGACUCAAAUGAACCACCUAUGGCUUCUUAGCUUGAUUGUGUACUAAAACUUCAUUCCGCAAAUAGUUGUUGAUGCCCCAGCACAAUAGAAGGCAUACAAUCUGUGUCAGAAGUUCCCAUUUGAUGGUCUGUGGUACUGUUCACAUAACAAAAUCUACCAUAGAAAAAUCAAAAAAUCUCAAAAGUAGGGGGUCUAUGGCUUGGUUUUUGAAAAACAGGGUCUGCUAAUUUGCAGCCAAAAUAUAUUAACUCCUCCUCUGUCUUUUCAGGCAAUUUCUAAUUCAACUGUGAGCCA